ACUCUAAAAGAUAGGAGAGGAGAGAAUUAGCCAAGUGAUACGGGGAAAAAGCAUGCAUAUACUCACAGAAUCUACCAUUAAAGGAAGAAGCUAAUAUAUAUCCACCCUAUUAUAUAAUAUAAAAUUUUGUUAAAUGUUUAUCAAACACUUAAUUUGGAUACUCAACUAUAAUAUCAUGGAAUGCAUGAUACUUUUGAUUUCUUUCAGUCCCUUAAAAUUACACUUUCUUUUUUUUAAAAAUAAUGCAGCCUCUGUCUACGCACUUUUCCUUUUUUUUUUUUGAUAAAACAGGUGGGUCAUAUCUCCCUUGUAUAAAUAUGUACAUUCCUAGGCGUCCGAAUAUAAAAUUUUCCCAAGCUAGAAUGGAGUCAAAAACCAAUUCGCUUACUGCACAUGAUUCACCGAAGGCACUAUUUUUCUCUCUGAAUACAUGAGCCAUUUCGAAACCUGCAAGAUUUGAGCCAUUCUCUAUACAUCCAUCCAA
rnacentral:lncRNA from 1 species